CUGGCGACAGUAGGAAGAGGAUCUGGGAAGCGUACGAAAGAGCAGAGCUCUGUUUUGCAGACUCCUUUCCCAGGCUCUUAUCCCCGGCAGUGCCAGGUGAGCCUCGACAGGACGAUCACCUGUCGUAUCCCAGGCUUCCCAACGAAAUCUACACGGUCACCUGGAACAGGUUAAGAAACCAGCGUUCCUGAGUGAAGCGCAAACUCACAGAUAACCAGGGGCAGCAAGAGAGGACUCUGAUCUCUGCAACUCGGUCUCUCCACCAUCCCGCAGAUAGGGGGAAGAUUUGGGUCAUUCUCUUCAGUUCCCAUUCAGGCAACAAGCAGGAAAAAAUAUGGACCGAGAGAGAGAGAAAGGAGGAGAAGGGAGAGAGAGGUGGUGUUAGAAGAAGAGGAAGAGAGGGAGGAAAAGGACAAGGAGGAAG
rnacentral:lncRNA from 1 species